UUUGACUGCCAUAGCGUUGUGGUACCACCUGAUCCCAUGCCGAACUCAGAAGUGAAACGCACCCGCGCCGAUGAUAGUGUGGCAGCUGCCAUGUGAAAGUAGGUCACAGUCAAAC
rnacentral:rRNA from 1 species